ACCAGGGAGGCGGGCUCCUCCUCGGCGGCGGCUGCGGAGUCGCUGCUGGGGCCCUGCGCGGCCUGCUUGCUCCGUCUCUUCUGCGCGCGCAGGGCGGGCCCAGGCCCUUGAAGAGGAGGAAGAAGAAGGAGACGGAAGAGAGGGCGGCCCGGUUCCCUUCAGCCCAGGGCCACGGUCUCCCCUCGCAGUGCGGCCCCGGGGCCUCCAUCCGGGUCAUCGCCAGCGCUAGGCCCCGGCGGCCUCGUUCCCCGAAGCAGCUGCGGAGGAGCGGCGAUGCUCCUUCUGGCCUGCUACCUGUUAAAAGAAAAGUGGUUUGUUACUGUAUAAUUACUAUUGGAGACAAUUGAUCUGAACCCUUUCCCCCUCCUGUGAAUCAUGAAUUUCGUCCGGCUUUUUGGGCGACUGAAAUCGGUUGUCAUUGGGAUGGUCCAUGUGAAAGCGCUGCCAGGAACACCAGGGAACACAUUGCCACUGGCCCAGAUCACCGAAGAAGCUUGUCGAGAUGCUGAAAUUUAUAGGGCUGCAGGACUUGUAAGAUA